rnacentral:lncRNA from 1 species
GGUGAGUCUUUGCUUGGGAUAUCGGGAGCUUCCUCCGAUAUCGGUGUCAUGUCGGCUCUGAUCUAGGCUUGUCGUGUCGGUCUAGAUUAGGUUGUUUAUAUUUUCGUUGGGAUUAUUAUUUUGUUGAUGACUACCCGAUGUUUGGGUUUUGAGAUUUAUCUUUUGGAUAUGAUUUAUUUGCUCAUGGCAUGUAUAUAUUUGAUCACUCUGAUUUAUAUUCCGCUGUAA